rnacentral:rRNA from 1 species
GUGCCAGCAGCCGCGGUAAUUCCAGCUCCAAUAGCGUAUAUUAAAGUUGUUGCAGUUAAAAAGCUCGUAGUUGGACCAGGCCGGGCGGGAGUGGUGUGUCGCAAGGCGCAGCGCGUCAGCCCGGGAUUAGGGGAGCUGUCAAUAGACAACGAUCCCCGGGUUACUGUGAAGAAAUUAGAGUGUUUAAAGCAGGCAAUCGCUUGGAUACAUCAGCAUGGAAUAACAAGAUAGGACUGGCGUCCAGCUUGUUGGUUUGGGGGCGCAAGUAAUGAUUAAUAGGGGCGGUUGGGGGCAUUAGUAUUCAGCAGUCAGAGGUGAAAUUCUUGGAUUUGGUGAAGACUAACUAGAGCGAAAGCAUUUGCCAAGGAUGUUUUCAUUAAUCAAGAACGAAAGUUAGGGGAUCGAAGACGAUCAGAUACCGUCGUAGUCUUAACUAUAAACGAUGCCGACUGGGGACUGGCUUCUGUCGUGCGCGACGGGGCCAGGACCCGCGAGAAAUCAAAGUGUAUGGGUUCUGGGGGGAGUAUGGUCGCAAGGCUGAAACUUAAAGGAAUUGACGGAAGGGCACCACCAGGAGUGGAGCCUGCGGCUUAAUUUGACUCAACACGGGAAAACUCACCAGGUCCGGACAUGGCAAGGAUUGACAGAUUGAGAGCGCUUUCAUGAUUCUGUGGGUGGUGGUGCAUGGCCGUUCUUAGUUGGUGGAGUGAUUUGUCUGGUUAAUUCCGAUAACGAACGAGACCUCUGCUGCUAGCUGGUGUGGUGUAUGUGGAUAGACCAACUCACUAACAGGACUGACCGCGCUUAGCGGUCGGAAGUUCGAGGCAAUAACAGGUCUGUGAUGCCCUUAGAUGUUCUGGGCUGCACGCGCGCUACACUGACCGAGGCAGCGGGUGACCUUUGCCGAGAGGCAUGGGGAAUCGCGAAACCCGGUCGUGCUGGGGAUAGAUCAUUGCAAUUAUUGGUCUUGAACGAGGAAUUCCUAGUAAGCGCAAGUCAUCAGCUUGCGCUGAUUACGUCCCUGCCCUUUGCACUCACCGCCCGUC